CAGACUCUUCUGGAGAUGGUGCAAAGAAGCAGAAUGCAGUAGAUCAGAAGUUCUCAAAUUUUAGGGCGUGGAGUCAUCCGAAAUGCUUAUGAAAACAUAGAUUGCUGGCCCCACCCAAUAAUUUUUGAUCCCAAAUUUUAAAAUUCAGAUUUUUCUGAAUUUUCUGAGCUUUUGUCCUGGAGAAAAGUUUGAUCGCUUCUAGCUGCCAGGCUCUGCAGGAUGUUGCUCUCUCUCUCCAGACCUAGGACCGUUCCUCUGCUUUCCCCACAAGGGCCUGUGAGCAGAUGAGCUGGCACCCUGGGGAGCCGGCAAAGGGGCAGAGGCUGAGCAACGGGGAGAGGUUCAUGAAGAAGGAACUGUUGGCUGCCUGCUCAGGAUGAACUUUCUACAGCUGAAAAGGAAACCAGUGUCAACUAUCUGGUAUUGAUUUCAUCUGUUUGGUAUCGUCUUCUGGAUUCUGAGGCAAAUGCCUAUUGAAUUUCUGCUGCUGAUUGCUGGAGCAGUCUUCAGAUAGCUGAUGUCUUUGUGGUUGGACCUCUCGGUCCCAGCAUCAUCCGCAUGUGCUGUGGAAGAGCGUCUCUUACUUGAAGCAGAGAAAUACGUCAUGGGGCCUAAGAGACCUGUGGCCGUGGUAUUUGGUAGACCGGCCUGGCUUGACCCAAAACACAAAAUGCGCAUCACUGAGGCUCCAUGUGUGGGAAUAUUUGGACUUUGUGGCCAUUGGAAUGUGUGACCAAAUCUAGCCUUCUCAGGGUUCUGCAGGUGAAGCAGAACUCUUACUCAUCUUCUGCCCAUCACGUAUCCUGUGAGACAACAUUCAACUUCUAAUGCCAUCCACGAGGUCAGACUUGCAGAUGGAGCAGACUAAGAAGACGUGAGAACUAAAUGCAAUUUGGGAUUCUGGAUUGGAUCCUGGAACAGAAAAAAGAUAUUAGUGGAAAAACUGAUGAAAAUCAAAUAAGACCUUUCGGUUAAUCGUAUCUUACCAAUGUAAAUUUCCUGAUUUUGACCAUUGUAUUACAGGUAAAAAUGUUAACAUUAGGGGAAGCUGGGUGAAAAUUAUAUAGGAAUCUCUGUA
rnacentral:lncRNA from 1 species